UUGGCAUGUGUAUGAAGCAAAUGCAUGGUUGAAAAAAGUGAUUAACGGUUCGUAUACAAUGUAGUAAUGUGGCCCAUCUUAGGAGUAAUAUGGUUCACAUUUCGCUCAUGUCUAGUAUGUUGGCAUGUGUAUUUGCAAACACGAGUAACCUUCACAUUUUGUUUUGGAUUUGUCUUCUUCACCUGUUGAUUCUGUUUAAGGAAACCUAUAUUUAGAUAUAGGCUGAUUUUUUCUCUCUUUUCAUGGAACCAAUUUUUUUUUUUUUUUUUCUUUGUAAUUUUUCUAUGUUUGUUGACAGUUUAUCUUGUUUGGAGACCCUUUUGAAUUUAAAAUGAACUUUUCUUUUAUGGACUAAUUGUUUGGUGGGGUUGAAUGAAUUUAACACUUUUUGUGUCACAUACAGGGUGUUUGGACGCACCAUGGAUUUGAAUUGAGUUACAAUUACUAGUCUAAUGAACUGGAAAUUGUUGAAGGAGUAAAUAACCAAAUGUAAUUUCCUUAGCAUUCAGAGCAAGGGCCUAGCUCCAAAUUGCAAUUGCAUGACUUUCAAGAAUCCAAUCAAUAUCAUGGUUUUCAAAUUUUAUAAUUACUUCAUUUGGCAAAAUCAGAUUUAUUGUCUUGCUUUUUGAUGAAAUGGGCCUUCAACUUUUCAUAUUGUUCUUGAUCUUGCAGGGGUGUUCAAAACCAUGCACGCAAAACCCAAGAGGAGAACUGUUACGGAGAAUGGCAAUGGUGGCGACGAAUCGGCCAUUGCCACUUUGAUAGGGAAUGGGGAGGAUGUAGGUCCCAUCGUCCGGCAUGCGUUUGAAAUCGGAAAGCCUGAGACCCUCUUGCACCAGCUUAAGAUUGUCGGGAAGAAGAAGGAGGUCGAGAUCGAGGAGCUUUGUAAGCUACAUUAUGAGGAGUUCAUUGUUGCGGUCGAUGAGCUGCGAGGCGUCUUGGUUGAUGCUGAUGAGCUGAAGAAUGCGCUCUCAGGCGAGAAUUUUCGGCUCCAAGAUGUCGGGAGCUCUCUUCUCGUAAAGCUCGAAGAGCUCCUUGAAUCAUCUUCGAUCAAAGAAAACAUAACAGAAGCCAUACAAAUGUCGAAGGUGUGCGUUCAAGUCGCAGACCUGUGUGUGAAGUGCAAUGAACAUGUAUCCAACAGUCGGUUUCACCCUGCAUUGAAGACAUUGGACCUGAUCAAGGACUACUUGCCGAACAUCCCUGUCAAGGCUCUUCGGAAGGUGAUCGAGAAGCAAAUACCAGUGAUAAAAUCACAUAUCGAAAAAAAAGUAAGUAGCGAGUUCAAUGACUGGCUUGUCCAAGUUCGGAGCAAAGCCAGGGAAAUCGGGCAGUCGGCGAUUGGGCAAGCAGCAUCCACUCGCCAAAGAGACGAGGAGAUGCGGGCCCGCCAAAGGGAAGUCGAAGAACAGAGCCGGCUGGGGGAAGGGAAUUGCGUGUACACCUUGGACGUUGAGGAGAUCGAUGAAGACUUGGUUCUCAAGUUCGACCUCACGCCCGUCUAUCGAGCCCACCAUAUCCACACCUGUCUUGGCAUUGAAGAACAGUUUCGUGAUUACUACUAUAAAAAUCGGCUAAUGCAGCUGAAUUUGGACUUGCAGAUCUCAUUGAUGCAGCCAUUCCUCGAAUCCCAUCAGACGUUCUUCUCUCAAAUUGCGGGAUAUUUCAUAGUAGAAGAUCGGGUGUUGCGGACUACGGGCAAUUUGCUGUCAACAAGCCAGGUGGAGACAAUAUGGGAUACGGCCAUCGCAAAAAUGACGUCGGUUUUGGAAGAGAACUUCUCAAAUAUGGAUGCUGCGAGCCAUCUUCUCUUGAUAAAAGACUAUGUCACUCUCCUAUGUGCAACUCUUCGACAGUGCGGGUACCAAGUAACGCCAUUACUUGAGAUUCUUGACAGUAGUAGAAACAAGUACCAUGAGCUUCUUCUUGAAGAAUGUCGGAAGCAAAUGCUUGAUAUUCUCGCAAAUGAUACAUACGAACAAAUGAUAAUGAGGAAAGAGUAUGAAUACAACAUGAAUGUUGUAUCAUUCCAUCUUCAAACUUCGGAUAUGAUGCCAGCUUUCCCGUAUGUUGCACCCUUCUCUUCUUCAGUUCCCGACACAUGCCGCAUCGUACGGUCAUUCAUUGAGGAUUCCGUGAACUACUUAUCAUAUGGGGGGCAGAUGAAUGUUUACGACAUUGUUAAGAAGUAUAUCGACAAGCUCUCAAUUGAAAUUUUGAAUGAGGCUCUAUUGAAUUCGAUCCAUAGUAGCGCCACGGGCGUGUCCCAAGCGAUGCAGAUCGCAGCCAACAUAACUGUUUUUGAGCAGGCUUGUGUCAUUUUCUUGCGGCACGCAGCCCAUCUGUGUGGUAUCCCCGUCCGUGUCGCGGAAAGGCCUCAUGCUAGUUUAGCUGCCCGCACGGCUCUGAAGACUUCACGGGAGGAGGCCUACCACGCAUUAUUGAGACUGGCGAACUCAAAGGUGGAUGAGAUAAUGUCCCUCACUGAAAAUGUCAAUUGGAUUGCCGACGAAGCCCCGCCAAAUGGGAACAAGUACAUAAACGAGCUGGUGAUUUACCUCGACACGUUGAUGUCCACAGCGCAACAAAUCCUGCCAUUGGAUGUAUUGCACAUGAUAGGAACUCAGGCACUAGAGCAUAUCUCUGGCUCCUAUGUGAAUGUUCUUCUCAACGAAAGCAUCAAAAGGUUUAGCAUUAGCGCGAUCAUAGGCAUUGAUAGUGAUUUGAAACGGUUGGAAUCUUUUGCAGAUGAGAGGUGUUACAGUGACGGCUUUAGCGAGGUCCACAAGGAAGGCAAUCUGAGAGAUUGCUUGGUAGAGGCCCGCCAACUGAUGAACCUUCUGUUGAGCAACCAACCUGAGAAUUUCAUGAAUCCUGUGAUAAGGGAGAGACACUACAGGGCAUUGGAUUAUAAAAAGGUGGCCACCAUUUGUGAGAAAUUCAAGGAUGCACCAGAUAGGCUGUUUGGUAGCCUCUCGAACCGGAAUACAAAGCAGAAUGCUCGCAAGAAAUCAAUGGACAUGUUGAAGAAAAGAUUGAGAGAUUUCAAUUAAGACCCAACUGAGUCAGCUCGUGGAGAUUUCGAGCCGGGUACCUGGGAAACUCUAUGCAAUGCGUCUCCAUGACUUGAACCAAGUCAUUCGUCUUAUGAAAGCCAAGAUUUUAUUGAAAAUAUAAGGCAAGAGUGAGAUUUGAAGCUUCAAGCUCAACCAAGCAACCUACACCCUUAAGCAAUUGGAGCGGAGCGGUCUUUCGCAUAUUUGUAACUUCAUGAACGGCUGCUCGAGAUGAACGGUCCAGAUCUUGUCUUGAUUCCAAAUCCACACACGACCUACUUGGAUGAGAACCUGUUCAAUCAUAUGUGAGUGACACCACCUUGGCUAAUACUAAUUGAAGGAUCUUUAGUCGUCCACUGGAAAUGAUUUUUUGCACAUUGAAUGUGGGUUAUUCCUUUUUUCA